GAUGAACGCUGGCGGCGUGCUUAACACAUGCAAGUCGAACGGUGAAGCAGAGCUUGCUCUGUGGAUCAGUGGCGAACGGGUGAGUAACACGUGAGCAGCCUGCCCCCGACUCUGGGAUAAGCGCUGGAAACGGCGUCUAAUACUGGAUAUGAGCUGCGACCGCAUGGUCAGCAGUUGGAAAGAUUUUUCGGUCUGGGAUGGGCUCACGGCCUAUCAGCUUGUUGGUGAGGUAAUGGCUCACCAAGGCGUCGACGGGUAGCCGGCCUGAGAGGGUGACCGGCCACACUGGGACUGAGACACGGCCCAGACUCCUACGGGAGGCAGCAGUGGGGAAUAUUGCACAAUGGGCGAAAGCCUGAUGCAGCAACGCCGCGUGAGGGAUGACGGCCUUCGGGUUGUAAACCUCUUUUAGCAGGGAAGAAGCGAAAGUGACGGUACCUGCAGAAAAAGCGCCGGCUAACUACGUG
rnacentral:rRNA from 1 species